AUUGAACGCUGGCGGCAUGCUUUACACAUGCAAGUCGAACGGUCUUAGGGGCUUGCUCCUAAGUUAGUGGCGAACGGGUGAGUAAUGCAUCGGAACGUACCGUGUAGUGGGGGAUAACCCGGCGAAAGUCGGAUUAAUACCGCAUACGAUCUAAGGAUGAAAGCAGGGGAUCGCAAGACCUUGCGCUAUACGAGCGGCCGAUGUCGGAUUAGCUAGUUGGUAGGGUAAAGGCCUACCAAGGCAACGAUCCGUAGCGGGUCUGAGAGGAUGAUCCGCCACACUGGGACUGAGACACGGCCCAGACUCCUACGGGAGGCAGCAGUGGGGAAUUUUGGACAAUGGGCGAAAGCCUGAUCCAGCCAUGCCGCGUGAGUGAAGGAGGCCUUCGGGUUGUAAAGCUCUUUUGUCCGGGAGCAAAUCCUGUUCACUAAUACUGAGCGGGGCUGAGAGUACCGGAAGAAUAAGCACCGGCUAACUACGUGCCAGCCGCCGCAGUAAGAC
rnacentral:rRNA from 1 species